UUCUGGAGGAGUUGGGAUUUGAAACUUGCGCCAGGUGAGAGGCUCUGCUUCAUGAUCAUCCAAAUGAAACCUGACUGGAGCUACAAUUCUGUGGAUGUCACUGCAUGAGGACAUACAUUGUCCUGAUAGAAUGUCAUCAUGUCAGAAUGAACCAAUAUGAAGGGCAGCAAGUGAGAAUCCAGGAUUUGAUCAGUGCAGAAUGCAAGGUACCAGGUUCCUGGAUCCAUAUAUUCAAUGAAGCCUGUCUCUUGGAGGG